rnacentral:other from 1 species
UUUCCCCUGCGUUGUGCGUUAUGAGCGAUAAGUUUUAGAAUCGUAACGUUUUUUUUGGGGUCUUUCCCUGACGGCGGUGAGCUAAGCUCUGUAGGUUAGAGAAGCCUAAAGUCGUUAACUAAGGGCCCCACCUUUCAGGCUUGGAUUCAAAAACGAGCCGCCUCAGACGGCAAAGGCAGGGGAAUU